rnacentral:rRNA from 1 species
ACUGAGUUACCGCUCUAUAACCCUUUGUGAACAUACCUACCACUGUUGCUUCGGCGGGUAGGCCGUCCCCUGAAAAGGACGCCUCCCGGCCCGGACCGGACCCCCCGCGGGACCGGACCCGGCGCCCGCCGGAGGAUAACCAAACUCUAUUGUAACGACGUUUCUUCUGAGUGGCAUAAGCAAAAUAAUCAAAACUUUUAACAACGGAUCUCUUGGUUCUGGCAUCGAUGAAGAACGCAGCGAAAUGCGAUAAGUAAUGUGAAUUGCAGAAUUCAGUGAAUCAUCGAAUCUUUGAACGCACAUUGCGCCCGCCAGCAUUCUGGCGGGCAUGCCUGUUCGAGCGUCAUUUCAACCCUCAAGCUCUGCUUGGUGUUGGGGCUCUACGGUCGACGUAGGCCCUCAAAGGUAGUGGCGGACCCUCCCGGAGCCUCCUUUGCGUAGUAACAUUUCGUCUCGCACUGGGAUCCGGAGGGACUCUUGCCGUAAAACCCCCCGAUUUUCCAAAGGUUGACCUCGGAUCAGGUAGGAAUACCCGCUGAACUUAAGCAUAUCAAUAAGCGGAGGA